GUACCGAUGAAGAGUCCCAAACUAGGACGGAACAGUUGUCCAGUAC
rnacentral:hammerhead_ribozyme from 1 species